AUUGAACGCUGGCGGCAGGCCUAACACAUGCAAGUCGAGCGCGAAAGGCCUUCGGGCUGAGUAGAGCGGCGGACGGGUGAGUAACGCGUAGGAAUCUACCUGGUAGUGGGGGACAACUUGGGGAAACUCAAGCUAAUACCGCAUACGCCCUAUGGGGGAAAGUGGGGGACCUUCGGGCCUCACGCUAUCAGAUGAGCCUGCGUAGGAUUAGCUAGUUGGUGAGGUAAAGGCUCACCAAGGCGACGAUCCUUAGCUGGUCUGAGAGGAUGAUCAGCCACACUGGGACUGAGACACGGCCCAGACUCCUACGGGAGGCAGCAGUGGGGAAUAUUGCGCAAUGGGGGCAACCCUGACGCAGCCAUGCCGCGUGUGUGAAGAAGGCCUUCGGGUUGUAAAGCACUUUCACUUGGGAAGAAAAGCUCAUCGUUAAUAGCGGUGAGCCCUGACAUUACCUUGAGAAGAAGCACCGGCUAACUCCGUG
rnacentral:rRNA from 1 species